UAACUUUGUAUAACAGUUAGUGAACAUACAGUAUUUUAUCCUGAUGAUGAUGAUCUUUUAAAGAUAGUGUUUAAAUACAGUAAUUACUUAGAUACGCGAACUGGUUGAAUCAGUAGUAGCUUAGUUUGUUGUCUUCAUGCAACCUCAGUUUGGUUCCUUUUUCUGGCCUUGGAUUCUGCAGGAAGCAGUGUUUGAGAGCACUGUAGAAGCUAAUAAACCUCUGAAAGGAAGGAAGCUUAUUUUUCUGCUUAUUUUGCUGCUUAAAAGCAGCUUCAGCUCCUAAUGAUUUCCAUCCAUCCAGUCAGAAGUGUUAGAGGACUGGGGUGAUAUAAUAUAUGUGGGCUUCUUAUGGGAAUCAUUAGCAAUUAAUAGAACUGAAAAAUUAAUGACAAAAACCUAAGGCGAAGAAUCCAUUCACAAGGGGAUUAUUUGUCUUUGGAGUUCCUGGAGGGACUUUGGGUGUCGAUAAAUUGAAAUGUAUUAUUUAAAUUACCCAUUGUUAUAACCUAAUUCUAAUUUGUUGUUGUGAAGAUUACAUUUAUAUCAUCUAGAAAAGAUAUCAGAAGAUGACCAGAAAUUAAAAGAGACCUUGAAAGUAAUUGCAGGAAAAGAAGUAACUGCAAAGGCCGUUUGCUUUCUUACCUUUGCCUCUACUUGGUUAAAAGCUUUACCCAGCAACACUUAGAUACAAUAGGAGUGACUUACAACAGCAAGACUUGAAGACUGAUCCUCAUGGAUGGCAAAGGGUUGUUCAGCUUGGAUUUACUUGCUUCUAAGACUGUAGGUGUAUAAUAAGAAUUAUGAAGAGAUCUGCUCAGUAGAAAACAUGGAGUCAAGUCUGUUGACACUUACGUUAUUUAAUCCUGUGAGUGAUGAACUCAUUACAGGAGGAAUCAAAGGAGUAAAGUUUUGGAAGUUUAAAGAAACGGAAAAUACAGAUUACUCUGGUGCAGCUCAUAUGUCCAAUUACAAGCUUUUCCCCAGUGCAGAAUUCCCACACAUGAGGCAAAUCUGGUGUACAAAUAUGGAUCUUGAUGUCAAUAUGCAAAGACUUUAUUGCUUUUCUAAUUGCGAUCUCUUCUGCUUUGAUACCAAAGGGAAUAUACUGUUUCAGCCAACCAAUGCCCACCAAAGUACCAUUCUCUCCUGCAUCUAUUCAUCAUACUCCAGUGCUUUGCUUACUUCCUCCAGGGACUCUGAAAGUAAGGUGGCACACAGGAACAAAGCAUCUGAGCCUAUGAUCACACUUCUUUGUUUCUUCUUAUUUACCAUAUGUUUUUAAUGAGACAGCAGUGCUAGUAUUUUAAAACAGCAGUAGUGCUUCAGUGUAUAAAUGACCUUCUAAUUCUAAACUUAACUACAGCAAUUCUUGCUCCCACAUUUGAAGUCACGAAGAAAAUUUUCUGUAGGCCAUAUUGGCAGAGAGUCUCAUAGUUAUUGCCUCUUUGGGGAACACAAAGUCCAGGUCACAGUGUUGUCACAUAAUUGAUUUCUUGCAAUAACAGCUGGGCCUAGAAAUUAAUGGACCUCAAUCUUUCCUAUCAUCAUCAUCUGUCUUUCUCUGAAUUUUCAUAAAUAGAAAUGUUAUCUGUUAACUUUGAACCCAAACAUAAAUCUUAACAUAUAAAGUGUGACUUCUUUCUGAAUGUAGAUCUCUUAGAGCUUUUCAAAAAAGUUCAGCAGCUGAAUGUCUUAUCCAUUAUUUAUUAAUAUUUAAUCUUUUAAAAAUAUCUUCCCAUUAUCCUCCACUGAAUCCAGGAAUCACUUUCUGGGAUAAUGCCAAGAUGCUGAGCACAUCCUAAAAGAUUCAAAAUGCCUUCAGCUUCAUGGUAUGGAAGGACAUGGUCCUUUGAAGGAUUGGGCCCUACCGUACGUCCUGUCAACCUAAAUUUUGAAGUAGCAAUUCCUCCAAGCCGUAGUAUUUUUCAUUCAUCAUCUUACCAACUCUAUGUGAUAUAGUUUUUGAUUUGACUAUUUUCUAUCAAGAAUCAUCAAUUCUUUUGUAAAUAUAUGGCCCUCAAAGGAAUAAGCAGGCACAUUCUGAAUGGUAAUUGAUAAUGUUACUUUCCAGACUUUUCCAAAUAAAGAAGCAUCUGGCCUCCUUUUCAAUACCCUGGCUAAAGCAUGAGAAAAUGCCCAACCACUCUGUUUUGAUUUUCUCAUGAUAAUUAUUAGGAAAAUCAGGGAUGCUCAUGAUGAAAAGGACUAAAGUCAUAAAUGUUUUUCAAAAACACAGAAAUCAUAGUGUUCAUGACUCCCAUGAAUUGACUUCCUUCGUUAACUAAGUGCAUUUCUUCACAGUAGAGUAUAUCAUUAGCACUUGGGAGAGAAAAUACAGUAUUAGAUCAAAAGCAAAAUUACAGGGUGUUUUUUAGUGUUUGGGGAUGGGGGUUUUUUGAAGAAUAAUCAGGUUUUUGGUGUUGUCCUCAGUAAAAUAACCAGAGACAAAGAAGUGUAGUUUAUUUUGGCUUCUUCAUAAUUUAAUUCUCGUUUAUUUACUGAUUGAUGAUUAUUGUUUUAUUUUUAACCCAGUAAAAUCUUGGAAUGACCAGGGCAGUUUGUUGCAUGUGUUUCAUGGCCAUACCAGGUCUGUCACACACAUCCUCCUCCACCCAAACACUUUGUCUUUAUUUUUCUCUGGAUCUUUGGAUGGGACAGUGAAACUCUGGUCCCUGGAUACAAUGCAGCUGUUUUACAGGUACUUAAAAAGGCCAUACUAUUUAUGUAAGUUUCACUGCUUACAACUAAUGAAAUAUAAUCCAGUUAAAAUCAAUUUCUAGCAUUAGAAUUUGUAGCAUUUUAUGGUAUGUUGGAUGAAUUUCAAAGGAAAAACAGGGAAUCUUUAAGGAGUAAGAUAAAUAUCUUUGUAGAUUAUAUGCCUCUAAGAAUAUUGCCACAGUUUGGCUCUAUUUUCCAAUUCUUUUGGGGCUGAACCUGUAAGGAGUUGAGGCUACUCAACAACUUGCAGGAAGUGCUCAUCAUCUCAGAGCAUCAGGGUGCAGAUUCUCAAAGGUAUAUAAGCAGUUAACUCCAAUGGAUUUUAUUUCAGUGGGAGUUAGGCACCUUAAAUAUCUUUGAGGAUCUAAGCCCAGGUGCUCUGACCAUAAGGCAAGAAAUCCUGCUAAAUAGAAAGGUAUGUAUCUCUGCUAUUCUCAGCUCAUUAGAUAGUAAAGAUCUCUUUAGCACAGCUUCUGUUUAGAACUGUGCAAAUAAUGGAUUUUUCAGUUCACUAACAAUUUGGGUGAAACCCAAACCAAAAUGUUUUGUUUAGAUUUUGAGUAUUUACUGCCUCUGAAUUUUUUAAAAUACAAUUGAUGGAAAAUUUAAAACAAAAAGUCAUUUGGUGAGAAAGUUAAACACAUGCAUAAGUAUUUGCAGCGCAGGGCCUUAUUCAUUAAAGGGUCAGUUCACCUUUAAUAGUGAGUUCUACUAUAAUUCCUUGAGUAUUAUACAAGAGCUACAGUGUGCAAGACAUGUUUAAUUUAUAAAGAAAAAAUAAGAUGUACAAUUCAUGAGCUUGUUUUUUGUUGUAUGGUUAUGAAUAAAUAAAUCUUUACCUCUUAAAAAAUGUUAAAAGUGUGGCAUUUCCCAAGGUAUAAAUAAUGUAUACAGCUCUGAAUCUGCUUUGAGGUAUUGGCCCCAUACCAUAUAAUUGAUUUUUAAGGAGCCCUUCCCAUCAAUUACUUGAUAUGUAAGUGAUUCAAUAAGAUAUAUAGUUUUUACUAACUUCUAAAGGGAUAUCAUAAGAUCUAGAAAUGGAGGUUGUGUCCCCUUGAGUGUUAUAAUUUCUAGUAACAUUUUUAUAUAACCUGCAGGAAUUAGCACAGUAUUUACUUAUCAUGUAAGUACAUGGUAGUUCCAUAUCUUUAUGGCAUGCAAAACAGAUUCACCAAGGUCACUAAAGCAGUCAGUGUUGAUUGGAACUGGUUCCAGUUUUUUUCCCUCUGAGUUCCCCAGGGAAUUGUCAGAAUUUGAGUCUGGUGUGAAGAAUUCUUUUUAGCUUAACAUAGUCAACAUUGAAAAAUGUCCCAUGUAGUUUAACUUGGACUCUAAUGUAAUUGAUGUAACUUGCUUCUGACUUACUUUAAUUCAUAAUUUUCUUUGGCUUGUGGGGAUUUUAUCUUUCGUUCAGUUUAUCAUUGUUCACUGAAGGAAUUGUUUGGAUGGGACUGACUGAGGAUAAGUUGCUGUACUGCUCUUUUGCCCGCAAUCUUCAUGUGUAUGACUUGAACUAUUUUACCAAAUUCUGGACUCGUGUCAGCAGUCAGAUUAAGGCUCUGUCCCUCUGUGGUGCCAAUGGGAAAUCCAACAGGGUGGUAGCUAUGGGCUCUGAUAACAGUUUACGAAUUUUCUCUCUGAAUAAUGGGAUAAAGUUAUGUACCGUGCUGCCGCCUCCCUAUCUCUCUCAGUUCUCAGUCAGUUCUCAGCUUUGCCUAUAAUCGAACCAGUGGAACAAUUUACUUCCUCCUGACUUCUUGGGAUAUAUGGAUCUACACAACGAGAAUUGAUCCUGCAUGUAGGGCAGCAGUGUGGACUAGUGAAGAAAUACACCAGCACUUAAACAGAAAACACCCCUUAGCCUCGUGAGUUUCCUUACUUUGCUGAUGGGCUUUUGUUGCUUUAGCAGCAGAAAAGGUUUUUUUCCCGAUUCAUUCUUUAUUUUCUGAACUAGUUGUAUAUUGAUGAAUUUUUAAAAAUGAGAUAGCAUCACUCAUUUACAAAGGUAGAUAAUACAUGCUUCCUGCCGCAUACAGUGGGCUGUAGCCCACGAAAGCUUAUGCUCUAAUAAAUUUGUUAGUCUCUAAGGUGCCACAAGUACUCCUGUUCUUUUUGCAGAUACAGACUAACACGGCUGCUACUCUGAAACCACUCAAAAUAAAAUGACACACACUUCAGAAGAAAAUAAUGUGACAAGAGUUGUUAUCUGGUGGAUAAGAACAAGGAAAAAAUGGAGUAGUCUGUAAGAAAGUACGAAAACUUGAAUGGGAAAAAGAGCAGCUGGGGAUGGGAUGAGCAUAGGGAGUGGGAUGGAGCUAGGGAAAGUGAGAGCAGUAAUAAAGGAGGGAGCAAGAUGAUAAGGUAAGGCCAAGGAAUUUGAAUUUGUAGUGGUAAGAGAUGGGAAGUCAGUGGAAGAAUUGAGGGAGGACGAUGAAGGGGUCACAAUGGCAGGAGAGGAAGGUUUGGUUUGACAGUGACAUUUUGGACAGAUUGGAGCCAGUGAGAGUCAGUGAAACCCAGAGAAGAGAAAGUUACAACAGUUAAGGCAGGAAAUGAUCAGGGCACUGACAAAGGUAUUAGCUUGGGUCAGUAAGGAAACUGCACAUCUUGGGAUUAUUAAAGAGGAAGAAGAGACAAAAUUUAACUUCAGCUGGGUUUGUUCAUGUUAGUAGUUACGUUAGGUGAUGCCCAUGCAAGGCAACCUUUAAACUAAUGGUGGAUAUGUGCCAUUAAGUAGCAUUGACUAUUAUUAUUGCUAUUUUCUUUUCCUCAGUAAGCAUACUGCUACUUUAGUUAGAAACACUCUCAAGAGUCAGGUUGAUAAUGCUGAAUUUUUAAAUCAUUAUUUUCAAAGGCUUUUUGCAAUAUGAGAUCAGUUAUCACUAGAACUGGUUGAAAAAUUUUCAGUGGAACAGUUUUCCAUCUGAAAAUGGAGUUUUGUUGAAAUGGAAACUUUUUGUGGGAAUGUUGAUUUGUGGCCACAUUUUUGAUGGAAAAGUGUUAAAAUGAAUUGUUUUGACUAAACAUCUUUACCAUAUUUUAAAUGAAUUGUUUCAAAUUUAUUAUUUUAUUUAUAUGUAUAUAUUUAUAUAUAUUUAAUAAUUGAUAAUAUAUUAUAUGUAAUGUUUAAUAUUUUAUACUUUAUCAGAAUGAAAUCUUUCAAUGUUUCCAAAUACAUUUUGGGGGGGAAUUUCAACUUUUUGUUCCAAUUUGGAAUGCAAACAAAUUUCAAAAGGUUAGAAUUUCCCACAGGACAGAAAUUCCACUUUCUGACCAGCUUUCAUUGUAAUGCUGAAAGUU